CUACGUGCCAGCAGCCGCGGUAAUACGUAGGGGGCAAGCGUUAUCCGGAUUCAUUGGGCGUAAAGCGCUCGUAGGCGGUCUGUUAGGUCGGGAGUUAAAUCCGGGGGCUCAACCCCCGUUCGCUCCCGAUACCGGCAGACUUGAGUUUGGUAGGGGAAGGUGGAAUUCCUAGUGUAGCGGUGGAAUGCGCAGAUAUUAGGAAGAACACCAGUGGCGAAGGCGGCCUUCUGGGCCAUAACUGACGCCGAGGCUCGAAAGCGUGGGGAGCAAACAGGAUUAGAUACCCUGGUAGUCCACGCCGUAAACGAUGAGUGCUAGGUGUUAGGCCCUUUCCGGGGCUUAGUGCCGCAGCUAACGCAUUAAGCACUCCGCCUGGGGAGUACGACCGCAAGGUUGAAACUCAAAGGAAUUGACGGGGGCCCGCACAAGCGGUGGAGCAUGUGGUUUAAUUCGACGCAACGCGAAGAACCUUAUCAGGUCUUGACAUUGAUGGACAGAACUAGAGAUAG
rnacentral:rRNA from 1 species